UUGAACAUAAGAGUUUGAUCCUGGCUCAGAUUGAACGCUGGCGGCAUGCUUUACACAUGCAAGUCGGACGGCAGCGGGGUAGUGCUU
rnacentral:rRNA from 1 species